UGGGUGCAGGUUGGUAGAUUUUGAAUAGUGGGUUGUAGAUUAGUAUGCUAGUAAUAUAUACAUAAAAAUAAUAUUAAUUACUAAAUCUAUAUAUAUAAAAAAUCAUUUUGUUUAAAUAUGUGCAUUUGGAAAGAGAAGAAGAUAAAUGCGUUGAGUAAAAAUAAUUUUAUGAACUCAUGGAUAGAGUAUGCCACUAUAGUAAUAUGACAAUAUUAUUAUAUACGUUGAAAAUAUACUAUACUAAAAUGAAGAUAUACUCCACUCUAAAGCUGUCCACGUUAGAUGAAAAAAACCAGCCACUAAUAUUGCAACAAUCAUUCAUGUCAUUUUGAUUAAUCUUGAUUUGGGCUUCGUGUUUUAUUUGGGCUUUUUCUCUUACUUUUGCUUUUUUUUUUUUGGUUUUUCUUGGCUUCAACAAAAACUAAAUUGUCUUUCUUCUUCGACGCAAGUCACGCGACUAUGAUGAACUUUCGCGAUUCUUCUUUCGAACUGAAACGGUGUUAUUAAUGGCUGUGUGAUUACUCGAAUUGAUUCACCUCUCCACGAUUCAUCUUCAAUGUUUGGCUUAGAUGUGAAAGGCGGUGUGUAAACAGUAUAAAUAGAUGUGACUUGUGAGAUCUCUCUCCUUGAACUCAUCUUCUCUUCAAUCAUCAAUCUAUUUUUUUUUAAAGCUUGAGUUCAUAUGAUUCUGGUUUCGUUUUAUUGAUUUAGAAAGUUUUAGUUUAUAUGAUUUUGUGUUCCUUUAUUGAUUUAUUUAAGGUUUAUGAUGUAAGAUGAUGCAAAGCAACUCGAUAUUUACUUUAUGCUGUUAUAACCGAUUAAUGAUUUAAUAUUUAUUGUAAUUUGUUUCAUCUACUCGAGGCCUCUCGCAGGCAACGCUCAUCUAAGGAUCAAUCACCUUUUACCGUUGUAACUCCUUCCGACAUAACUUGCAAGAAGGCCCAGUUUAUGAGUUAAAUGGUUUGAUUCCGAGAAGCAAUCCUACCUUCAAGUUUGCUGACGCAGCCGUUUCUAUUAAAUUCACGGACCAUACAGCUUUCGUGGAGGUCACAGACACAACUAAGCUGAUCCUGAAUCCCGAGGGAGAGCUUCAGGUUCCGCAAUACGAGUAGCUCAUGUCACUUGCCAAUACCAGCACUCAUUUUUCAGAUAUAUUUGGAGAAAUUAGGAGCAACAAAACCAUGUACAACGAAGACACCCAGAGCACUCAACGCCGCAAGGAAACCAUAAAGUUUGAUGAUAGGUAUUUGAUAUUUUGCUUCCAUAAACUUUUAACGUGUAACUUAUAUGUUUGUGCGAAGUUUAGUGUACGAUAAGAUACCUCUUUCCAACCAUUUCAGGGACAAGCCUGUCUGCCUCAGUGUUGUUGAUGGCCUUUCUGCGGACCUAGACACACAACUACUAAGCUCUGGCUGAAUCCCUGAAGUUACAGCUUUAGAAUAUUUAUUUAAUGACUCUGCUUCACUUUCUUUUUAUCAUGUGCGUUUCCAGGCACAGUCUUUGCAGUAUUUUGGAUUCUACAGUUACAUGGUGUUUCUAUCACAGUCCUCUCUAUAAGUGGCUUCAAAAUAUGAAUAGGGACAAAAACAUUUGAAUGGAUCACAUGUCUUAUUAAUAUUUCUAUCUUGAGUGCAGUUCGAGCUUGAAAAUUGUUGUGUCAAAGCAGUAAACCGGAGAAAGAAUAAGAACAUGUACAGAGUUUGGGUUCGUGGGAAGUUCCAAAAGCCAUUUCUAAAAUAAAGAAAGGGAAGUGCUGGUCCAAUGUGGAAUGGCUAAAAAGUUUAUUUAUUUUUUAACAACUUCAUGUCAAACUCUUUUGCGGCUCUUCUAGCAUGCAGCUUCUUUGCAUAGUGCAUCUUCUCAACUGCUCAUUGAUUCGACCCUCUGUCUCAAUGUGUUUGACGGAUAAGUCAACCACCUUCCUUAAAGUUUGAACGUUUGGGGUUUGGAACCAACAACCCAAAAAAAACUUUUUUGUUAAUAAUAUUUUGAGAUUGUUUGUUGUAAUGUCCAAAUAUGGGAAUCAUCUGAUAUAAAUUGAGAAAUGCUUCUUCUAGAGGGGAGGAGGAUAUGAAGAAAUCCAUCUUCAAGAUCGCCAGUUUCUUGAUCUGAUUCUUACUGAUUGCUCAUGUUUAUUAACUAGAAACAUCGAACUAUUUUAUACUAAUCAGAGAAUCCAAUAUCAUGUGAGCUUUCACAUCAAUUGGUGCUUUCACACAACACACAUGCAGAUACACAUUUAAUAAGAAUUACAACAUGUGCAUCUACUUUCUAGGGUGUUGUACUUCUGUUAUCCACAUACUUGCGUCAGAGGACUCAUCAGAACCUAUAUAUUUGUGACAAAAAAGUAUUAAAUCAUUUUUAGUGUUGCUACGUACGGAAGAGGUUGUCUGCAAGGGCUAUGGAGAUGAUAAAGUUCUAAGAUAAUAAAGAAGAGGUGAAUAAAGAAUUAAGAGAAAAUGUGUACUGGAAAUCACAAAAGAAAACUGAAAUGUUCUGGAGUUUAUACACGUUUUUUUAGUUUUAGUCUGAAGAUCUUUAGUGAUGUUCACAAAACAUGAUAUAAAUAUAAUUUACAUUUUUGUAAAUUGUUUCAAAACCUUAAUAACAGUUUUUUGUAUCUUCCAUAGUCUAUGUUUAAUUAUUAACAUAAAAUAAACAUAUCAUAUUGACCAUAUAACAAAAAGAUACAUUUUUCGUAUAUUUUAUUAUUUGAAUUUUAGAAAAUGACUAUAAAUUACUAAUACUAUUCAAAUUCCCACAUUAAAGGUUGUGAUCAAGGGUUUAAAAAUUGUAUUGUAGAAAAUAUAAAUAAUCGUAAAACAUAUGAGUGAAAAUUUUCAUUUAAUAGAUAUUCAAAAUAUAUAUAUUAAAGUAUAUACCAUAUAAAAAUAUAAAAUUAUUUUUAUUUCAAAAUUUUCAUUGAUGAUUUGCAAUGAAUAUUCAAGAGCUGUUAUAAAUUACUAAAAUUAUUAAAAGUCUCACAUUAAUUUCUUUUGUUAUCAUAAGCUUACAAUUUUUGUUAUAAAAGAUGCAUAAAAUCAUAAAACCAUACGAUUAAUAAUUUUCAUUUAAUAGAUAUCUAUAUUAAAAUACAUUAUAUAUUUAUGUUAAUAUCAUUUUUUCCCAAAAACAAUUUCCUAAAAAAUUAAUUUAUGUUACUAUCAUUUAAAUUUAUUUAUAUCUAUACAAAAUAUAUAAAAUGAUUGUUUAGAUUUAUUUACCUAUAAUUUAUCACCAGUUUAUCACUUUUAACUUAAAAAUGUCUAUUUGAGAUAAUUUCUCUAUAAUUUAUCAUUAGUCAAUUUUAAUAUUUAAUUAGAUGCUAAAUAUAUAAAGAUAUGUUUCUUAAUAUUUGUAUUUUUAACCCAAAAUACUUAUAAUUUGAAACAAAAUAAAUAUUAAACAUAAUAAUAGAUUUUUAGCCUACAAUUUACUGUUACAUCUCAAUCACAACUUACAAAAUACUAUAAUAAAUGUAAAAGGCACCACAUAAGUUAUUAUAUGAUAAUAACUUCCAGUACAACAGCAUGAAUACUCAGAAAGAAAUGAUGUAAUGCCACCCUAAGAAAAAAAACAUAACUAAUUAUCAACAUAGCAUGGUUUAUUUAGUCUUUAAAAAACAUGUAUAAAAUUUAACUAAUAUAUUUAUUUUUAUUUAAUAAAAAUAUAUUAAAUAUUUACUCUAACAAUUUAAACUAUUUUUAAAUAUUCAUCCCACCGGUAGUAAAUGAAUAUUUACUCUAAGAUAUGUGGCAUACCAUAAGAAAUAACAAAUUAUCUUUUAAAUUUAUUGGAAGAAACAAAGCAAAUAGUAAAUGAACUAUUUAGUAAAACUGCUUAAAUACAAAAACAAAUAUGCAAAAUAAAUUCAAGUUCAAAAAAAAUAAUUUAUAUAGUAUAGGAUAAAAACUAAAAAUUCAGAUGUACUAACCGCGUAUAGCAUCAUUUACCAAAAUAAUAUAACAACAUUUGAAUCCAAUAACAUCAACAAUAACCAUUCUUUUAAAAUUAGAUGCACUACUCUUUACAUAUAAAAAGAGUUACAAUACAAUUUACCAGAAAUUACUAUCUCAAAAUAAAAAUACACAAAUUUAAUUUAAUUUAAUAAUAUUAUAGGAAAAAUCCGGGCGUAGCCCGAAAAACCCUCUAGUUACAUUAGAAGUUACCGAGAACACUGUUUUAUGAUGGAGAAAAUGUGUGUCUAUAGCUAGAAAAUGAAAAAACAAAAAGAGAAAUUACAUGUUUACCACUUUCAUGGUACCACUUUUCAUUUUUACCACCACUAAAGAGACAUUUUCAAAAAUACCUUCUUUAUUAAGUAGCAAAAGACUUUUAUGCCCUUGUUAUUAUAUAUAUAAUAAAUCAUUAUUUAAAUAAAAAAAUAAAUAAUAAAAAAAAUAAAUAAAUAAAAAAAGUAAA